CUCAAACUUAACGGAGAAUUUAAAAUCGCUAUAAAAAGUCUUUGCAUCCUCUUCCAUUCUGUUUCUUUGGGUCUAUCACGGAGGACAAACCCACGCGACCACUACGGAGUAAUGACAGCAGCUUUCUGCUCUGAAAGAUUUAUUUCGGGUUUCUUUCUCUCUCUUGUGUUGCUGUACGUAAGAAACUAUCUCCCUAGCACCAUGUGUUCUCUGCCGUGGGUGAUCUUAAAAUACAACGCUGAUCUGUCACUACAUUUUAAAAUAGAUUCAACUCUCAGGGAGGAUGAGAAAGUGUUGUGAUUUCAAGAAAGUGGAGUCCUUAAGGUCCAUGAAAGAUUUCACAGUCUUGGAAACCUCACACACGGAGGAGACUCAGUUAUAUCAUCUCUUUCGAACAACUGAAACUAUCAAGUGCUAGGUGCUAAUGAACAUCAAACAAUUAAAAAGGCAGUGUAAUUUAAGAAGUUUCAAAGCCCAGCUAGCCCUUAAUCUGAAGAGCAUCUCUGCUCCACCGAAACUAUCGUGCAAAGAAUGAAAUGAAGUCGGGGCAGAAAUGCACGGCACAGAUGGGUUGCGUUCAAAUAAGUAACUUGGGCAAUAAAGCUUGUUGCUUCCUUUAAAUUAAGCUACAGGUGUAAAUAUACACAGAUGUAAAAGAUGGACCGUAUUAAAAAAGUCUCAUUGUGCAUUGUAUGUAAAUAUGGGGGAGGGUGUGCUCUGCGGAUAACAAUUGUGUAUUUAUCUCUCUGAAUGCUGAAUAAGUGAUCAUAUGAUGUUUAGAUAUGCAGUGGAAGAGAGAAAAUAUCCUUUAUUUUUAGAAUUAAUAUAAGUUUACCGCUCGUUGAAUUACUUUGGUUGCCUCUCACUGCUAAAGGCUAGCCACAGCAGCGCAGCCAGAUGUUGAAGAGGGAUGCUGGACAUCUCGUGCUGUGCCUCCUUUCUCGCUUCUAGAGUGAAGGAAUUAGAGGCACUCAGCUACGUUGGAGCACUUACCUGUUCACAGCUGUCACUGCAUUUUGUGCUGUGCCACUCAUCUAAUACAGGCAUGGAAAACAGUGUCCAACAUGCAAAGCAACCUGUGUAUCUGGGUUGUUGUGCCACCUCCUAGAGAAGAUGAGCAAACCUAAGACUUAUAGAGUUUUUAGUAUAGUCUAAAGUUUGUAUACAAAGGGCAAGCAAUUCUACAUUAGAAGUCAUUUGCCAAGCAAUAAAAGCCCUCUUAUUAAUGCAGGACAAUUAGUAGCAUGCUUAUAAAUUCACUGGUGACACACUCCGACAAGGACGACUUUUUAUAGGUUGUAAAAAAAAAAAGGAUUCAAAGAGUUCAAACUUGCGUGAGAAAGAGGUAAAGGAAAAGGAGUUAAAAACUUAUCCGACAGGGAGAAAAGUUUUGUUAAAACUGGUACCAAAAUGACUACAUGUUUCUCUAUAGGCAAACCCAUCAGAUGAUUUGAGUUCCCCAAUAACAGAGCCCUUGGUGAUAUUCUUAAAAAAAAAAAACUGAGGGGGGGAACGGAUUACAUUUUAGCAAGGACCCAAUUGAAAACAAAACUCUGAGUUUCUUAAGGCGUCAUUUACUAACUACGUAUUGUCCUUUUGGCGGAAGCAGAUCAAAGGAACAUUUUAAUUUCAUUUGAAACUGUGCAUCAUUCUGAUAGAGAAGCAAAGAAGCCGCAGGAACAACAACCCCCCAAAACCGGCAAACCACAUAAACUUUUACAAAGAAAAUACAAGCAAGUUUGACAUGAAACCCCUUCCAGUCUCGGAAAGUUCAUUUUAAAGGUCUCCUCUGUAAAUCUAAAGUGCAAACACUAGGCUAAGGUAGUGAGUGGCUGGAAUUUGCAUGCUGAUAAGAGAAGGCUGUUGUACUUACAGUGACAGAGGGCAGGCUGCGGAAGAAAAGCUGUUUGUGUGAGAGUCACCCAGGGCUGCAAUGAGAGGAGAGGAGAGGAGUGGGAGUGCCAAGCUGGAUACACCUUCACCGCAUCUCAUCACAUCUGCCAGCCUCUUUCUCCCUCUCUCUUUCAUUUCCACAUUCCCUUUGUUCCUGGAAAAAAAAAAUCUACACGUCACAUCAGAGUCCCCAGAUGCAGUCUACACCAAAGAAAAAAAUGAAUAAUUCAAUCAAACUGUGCAUAGUCUCUAAGGCAAUAAAUCUAUUGCACUUAAAGAAACGAAGGGUAAUUACCGCUAUGGAAUUAGAAUCAGGCCAAAGAACGGAGGAAUCCCAGGGUCUGUAAACUCCACGGUCAAAUAAAGUUGCAUUUACUUAAUCCUUUGACAUCUCCAAUGUAAACUAAGGGGGAGGACCUGAACUUAUUCCGGAUGGGUUUGAAAAUGCUUGGAGUGAGGGUCACAAAAGCAGAGAGAGUGAUCAGUGAGAAUACAAUGCAAUGGAGUAAAGUGCUGCCGUGGAUCCCCUCCAGGUCCAUUCCCCCCUAGUGAACAGUGGAUCACACUCCCAUUUUCACCGGCUGCUGCUGCGCUCCACAAAUGCAACAUGGAUCAUUUGCAGUGAAUGGCAGCCUUACCUGCGUCUAGAGCUCAAAUAAAAGCUUACAAAAAGUCAUUGUGAUCGGCAAUUUGUUCCAAGCUCGGGCUAAAAGGAGCUGUAAGGGAUUUGCACCAACAGCGAUUGACUAGAAACGCUGUGACUGACUUCUGGAUUUGUCCUGGGCUGAGUUUAGGGAAUGUCUGACAGGGAGGGAGGGAGGGAAAACACGCUUGAGAUCGGAUCCAAGUUAGUCAGAAGAAGGCAGUGCUGGUAAGAAAGCCCUGCGACAGACCGACCUAGGAUGGGAUGGAGGAUAACUACAUUUGUUCCCCUAACCCUCCUCUAAACUUGCCCUUUCGUCUCGGAGGUAAGAUGACUCUAUAUUGUGUUUAUUCUCUCCAUGCAAUUCAGGUCCAGAGACACGUUCCAGUGUAAACAGGACAGCAAUUUAGGGAUGUUUCUCCCUCCUGUCGUUACUGCUAACAUCUAGUUAGAGUUUAAAAUCCUGAUCUGUUGCUUGACAAGUUCUUUGUAAACUACUCCCCCGUCAAAACAGGUGAGAUUAAGAUUGAUGAACGGACCUCGCACCUCGUUCUGAACUUUCAGAAGUGCCCAGGGUCGGCAGCAUUAAAAUGCUGUCCAUUUAUACGUAAGACUUGCAGCUUUUAUACUUUAUACCGUUUUUAAUAGGCAGAUUUGAUUUAUCCAAAAUAUUAAUGGAACUGUUAUUCCAAUAAAGGUGACCACACUUGCCAGUCUCUCGGCUUGCCUGGGCUUUGUUUAUGUGCUUAAAACGCCACCCUGAGGUCAGCGCAAAUAAGGCAGCCGAGGCAAAAGCCUGCCAAGGAGCUUUCGGCUUAGCACUUUGCACAGCAAAACAAACACUGUCAGUAGCAUCGGGAAAGUCAUCGAAGAAUCUCGUUUUGGCAACCCCAUUUCUAACGGCUCUGCGAAUGAAUUUGGGAUGAGGGGAGGAUCAAGCAGGAUCUUCCCUCACUUUCAGCCACAGUGAUGGGCUCGGGAAAACACAUGCAGAGAGAUUUAUAUAAAUUGAGGAGGUGAAGUGGGGACAGAAGUACUGGAAACGCAUCCACGACUUCGCUUCCCAACCAUCUGCUCCCAAAUCCUGCUUCGCUUCUGCACCUUUUGUACUGUGGACCACACCGACGGUGGUUUGCAUGGCAGAAACCAGCGCCUGAUAGGCAGAACAUCUCUUUACCCAUCUUUACAAAGUAACCUGGGGGAUGGGGGUGGGGUUAUACAGCGCCACUCACUCAAGGAAGUUUCCCUUCACAUCCUCAGAGCACGUGCCUCAGAGCAUCUCUGACUGACUGCCCCACCAGUUUCCCCAGACUCCAGGCAAACUCAGGGCAAGUGCACUGCCCAGAUUUCCCUGGAGUGUUUUGCCUUUUAGUUUGUCUCUCGAUUUGGAGGCGGGGCUGCGUGUGGUUUAUAAUCUUUGCUGAAUGGUUUGAAUGAAAGAGGAAUUAUGGAAACACGUUGCUGUGACCUAUAAACAGCUCCUAGGGUCCAGACUUGGCUUAGGUCGAGGGCAAUAAUUACCACAUUGGGUUUGCCUAUUUUCACUGGCCAGACAUAAGAAAGUUAUCACAACAAAACAACGUCAUGGAACAGGUCUUGUUCUACCUGGAAGCUAUGGAAAUACAUUAUGGCGUCCUGUAAACUGCCAGCCCUGCUUUUACUAAGUUUACAUC